rnacentral:rRNA from 1 species
UACGUAGGGGGCAAGCGUUGUCCGGAUUUAUUGGGCGUAAAGAGCGUGUAGGCGGCCAGACAGGUCAGCUGUGAAAACUCGAGGCUCAACCUCGAGACGCCGAUGGAAACCAUCCAGCUAGAGUCCGGAAGAGGAGAGUGGAAUUCCUGGUGUAGCGGUGAAAUGCGCAGAUAUCAGGAAGAACACCCGUGGCUAAGGCGGCUCUCUAGUACGGUACUGACGCUGAGACGCGAAAGCGUGGGGAGCGAACAGG